UACCUUAAUUAGGAUUAAUUAGAAGUUUAACUUGAUCAUUAGUGCUAAUCGGGUACAGUUUAUGGGCCCAGAUAUUUCUUUCCGAAGUCUCCCGAACCGGCCAGCAUGUUCCGUGUUCAAGUCGUCCACGGGGUCGUCUCCUCCUCGCGCAGACGAGAGCCGAGCAGAGCUGCUGCUGUGCCGGCCAUCCCCGGUCGCGUCCCCCUCCAGUUCUUUCCGCGGGUGCCUCCCCAACCUCAUCCUCCACCUCCACCGCGCAGCAGCAGGCCCGGCCGUGCUCUACCCCGACCAGAAUCGGCCAUCUGCGGGCCGCUAGAGCUGCUGCUCCGCCCCCAACAUCAAGCUCCUUCCUCCGGCCAUUCCCCGCUGGAUUCGAGGCCUUGCUUCAAGAAUGGAGGCCAGGAGUGCCAUCCCCAGGAAGCUCAGUGAGCACGAGCUCACUGUAAUGGCGACCAGGGACCUCGUGCAGCAAUUAGAGUACGCUAGAUGUACGACGCGUGGAGCUAAAGGAUAAAGUCGGAGCCGAACCCGAAGAUGAUGUUUGGUUGACAUAUCCAGAAGAUGGAUGGAUGGAUCCCGAUGUGCACGACCGAAGGCAGGUGCUCGUCAAGCGAGUGUCAUCUAACCAACACUAACUAAUUCAGUGUUAAUCCCAGGCAAGCCCCGGAGCAUAACCCUUAACUUCAGUAUUCAAUGUUUAUUUAUAUAAUUAUUGUGCAUUUA